CAUAUUGUUCAUGCAAGCAUGUGGAACAAUGGUAACAGAGGAGCAGCCUCAUGCCAUGUUGAUACCAUUGGAGUACUUCCUUAUGGGAUACGGCUUGUAUAGACCUAUAAAAACACGAAUUUCUCUGCAAGUAUGAAAUUAGAAAGAUCAAAAGGAGUUGAGGAAAAAAAUUUUUGUAAUCUAUUA